GGCCUCAUCGGCUGGAAGGGAUUCCUUCCGGUUGAUGAGUCUCUUCCACCUCAUCGAUUGGAAGGAAUUCCUUCCGGUCGAUGGGGUU
rnacentral:miRNA from 1 species